UACGUAGGGCGCAAGCGUUAUCCGGAAUUAUUGGGCGUAAAGAGCUCGUAGGCGGUUUGUCGCGUCUGCCGUGAAAGUCCGGGGCUCAACUCCGAAUCUGCGGUGGGUACGGGCAGACUAGAGUGCAGUAGGGGAGACUGGAAUUCCCGGUGUAGCGGUGAAAUGCGCAGAUAUCGGGAAGAACACCCGUGGCGAAGGCGGCUCUCUGGGACGGUACUGACGCUGAGACGCGAAAGCGUGGGGAGCGAACAGG
rnacentral:rRNA from 1 species